CGGCGAACGGUCGAGUAACACGUAAGCAACCUGCCCUGCAGUGGGGGAUAACAGCGGGAAACUGCUGCUAAUACCGCAUAGGCAUAUCUCUGGGCAUCCAGGGAUGUGUAAAGGCUAGACUGCUGCAGGAGGGGCUUGCGGCCUAUUAGCUAGUCGGUGGGGUAACGGCCUACCGAGGCGACGAUGGGUAGCUGGUCUGAGAGGAUGGUCAGCCGGAUCGGGACUGAGACACGGCUCGGACUCCUACGGGGGGCAGCAAUCAGGAAUAUUGCGCAAUGGGGGAAACCCUGACGCAGCGACGCCGCGUGCGGGAUGAAGGCCUUCGGGUCGUAAACCGCUGUUGUGGGAGACGAAUGACUGUCGAUGAGGCAGUGGAGACGGUAUCUCACGAGGAAGCCCCGGCUAACUACGUGCCAGCAGCCGCGGUAAUACGUAGGGGGCGAGCGUUGUCCGAAGUUACUGGGCGUA
rnacentral:rRNA from 1 species